rnacentral:rRNA from 1 species
UACGUAGGGUGCAAGCGUUGUCCGGAUUUAUUGGGCGUAAAGAGCUCGUAGGCGGUUUGUCGCGUCGGAUGUGAAAACCCAGGGCUCAACCCUGGGCCUGCAUUCGAUACGGGCAGACUAGAGUAUGGCAGGGGAGACUGGAAUUCCUGGUGUAGCGGUGAAAUGCGCAGAUAUCAGGAGGAACACCGAUGGCGAAGGCAGGUCUCUGGGCCACUACUGACGCUGAGAAAGCGGAAAGCAUGGGGAGCGAACAGG